ACACGGGUGUAGCUCUCAGCCAGGAGCAGGACCAGGAGGCACAUCACGUCAUGCUUGCUACACGAUAGCUACAUUUUUGGGACAAAAUCAUAGCUUCUCUAGUAAUUUUUCUUUCACAUUUACUACUCAAUGUCUUAGGUCAUUUGCUGCCACACAUAUAAAUGUCACAGCCACGGAACAGCCUUCCCGACACGUCACUUCUGACUGGCUUAGAGGUUCACCUGGCUUCUAACUCUGCUCACGCCGCACCGCAGGUACGGGGCUAAAGAGCUAGCCUACUCCUGGGGCGAAGGCGAAGCCAGGAAGAGGAUUUGAGUCUGAACAGGAGUGAUUCUCUCAGCCUUUCCUCAUGAUAGAGAUGCUCCAGUACCUCCAUCACCUUUGCAGUUCUCUGCUGGACCCACUCCAGGAGCUCCAUGUCCCUGUUGUGCUCCAGAAACCAGAACUGAGCACAGACUCCAGCACAGCCAAAAAAGGCACAGUAGGAAGACAGUGUCUGCAGUGCUCUGUCUCUGAUCUCCCCAGAGAUCAUCUGCCUUUCAGGAUGUGGCUCUCAACUGCACUGCAGCACCACUCACUAUCAGAGUCUAGAACCCACACCAAAAAAUAACAAACUGUUCUGCACUGUUCUGUUGGCCCUGACUUUGAAGCACUUGUGGCAGCACAGACAUCUGAAUCCUGCUGGGGUGACACUUUUGAGUGCAAUAGAGUUGGUGUCAUUAUGAUUGUGACAAACCAUCCAGACCUGCUCAGCUGCUGGUUAUAAUCACAUGCUGUGACCACUUCUCUUGCUAUUUGCAAACCCAUUGUUUGUGAAUGCUGGAAAAACAAAAAUAAAAAUUUGUUU